AGUAUAUAUUUCCGGUCAAGAAACUAAGGGCGCAAGGCGGAUGCCUUGGCACCAGGAGGCGACGAAGGACGUGACAAGCAACGAAAACCUCGAGUAGGAGCAAAUAUCCAGUGACUCGGGGGAAUCCGAAUGGGGAAACCUACUAGACACACUCUAGUAUCCAUACGUAAAUACAUAGCGUAUGGAAGCGAAUGUUCUGAACUGAAACAUCUAAGUAGGAACAAGAAAAGAAAGAAAACUCGAUUCUCCAAGUAGCGGCGAGCGAACAGAGACAAGCCCAUUAAAGUAAGACUAAACUGAUAGACAAAUCUUAUGGAAAGAAGAACCAAAGAAAGUAACAGUCUUGUAGUCGAAAUCAGAAUAGAGACACUUUAAGAAGAGUACCACGGAGCACGUGAAAUUCUGUGGGAAGAUAGGGGGACCACCCCCUAAGGCUAAAUACUACCUGGUGACCGAUAGCGAAUAGUACCGUGAGGGAA
rnacentral:rRNA from 1 species